AUUAAAUAUUAGAAUCUACAUAUAAAUUCGUCUUAAUGAAAUUUAAAAAAAUUGUUGUAUUGUAAAAGCGUCAUUAGAUUAGAUCUUUCUUAAUUUACGAACACUCAAUAAGUACUGUUGCGACAACGCCAUCUACAAGCGAAUAAUUUGGCGGGAGUAUCGGAGAAAUUGCGAUAGUGGUAAAAUAAAAUUCAUCACGAGCAAGUGGACGAAUCGAAGUGGAAUUAGGUUAUACAAUAUUAAAUUUUCGUGAAGCCCAAAUACGAAUUUUCGAGAAUUUCGUCUCUGAAUGCAGAUUUAUGCUAGUACAUUACGUACACAAAGAUAGUUUGGUAUGCGGUGGUGCACGACAAUCCUACAUCGAAGUGUAUUUGCCGAUUGUCGUCGGGGGUUGGAGAGGUAUGUUUGUAACAAGGUUGCCAGCAGCGUUACUGCGAGUUUCGAUCGUGAGACUAACCUUUAUGCCGACGUGCGAUAAUUAAUAUUCAGAUUAAAUAAGCAAAAUGAUCGAUAAAUUUAUGUUUCGCGACGAAAAAGUUUCUAUUGCAGCUAAUAUUUUUUGAAAGAGCAAAAAAGAUGUAAUCGAAGGAAAAAGAUUAUUUCUUUGAAAUUUAUCGUGAAAUAUAAAUAAGAUAGAAAGAAGAUAUACCAAGUAAAAAUAAUCAAUAGGAAAAAUAAAGUAGAAGCGAGAUUUUGUGAGACGAAACGUUCUACGUUUACUAUUACCGAACUGGUUAAACAGGUUAUCAGUUUAUAGCCACCGUAAAGAGAUUUUAAAUUUCGCGGCACAUGCUUGUACAUUCCGCGUGUCUUUUUCUUCUUAUUUCGAUUGUUUCGUGGAGUUCAUAGCACCGUGUACAGGAUGCAUUCGAGGUUCAUAAAUCCAAGGCAUCUUUCAAUAAUAAUUUCAAGAAAUACUUCGCAACAUAGCACCAUUGGAACAAGAGAAGCAUCUCGAGGCAUAUCUCGUAAAAAAAAAAAAAAUUAUUCAUCGCGAGAGAGUGAGAGAGAGAAAAAAAAAAAGAAAUAAUUCAUGCUCCUUUUUUGCAUUACGAUUAUCAAUUGAAACAAAAAGAAAUAAAAGUUUUAUAUGAUUUUCUUUUCAAUACACGUCGGGCUUAACUCGAAGACCUUUCGAAAAACCGCGAUCCUAAGUUGCAACGACGUUCAUCAUUUCGCUCUUGUUUCGUAAAAGAACUUCCAAACAUGAACAACUUAUUGUUGAAAGACAUCGAUAUAGAAAUCUGAUUUUUUUUUUUUUUUUUUUGCUAGAACAGCCCGGUGAGGACCAUUUACAUUAUUAUUAUUAUUAUUAUUAUUAUUAUUAUUAUUGUACGUUUUAGGGUUACGAAUGUUUUUAACGUUAAUCUGAUAUCGUUUAUUUUUUGUUAUUUUUUUUUUUUUUCCUUUAUCAGAGUAUCCUAAAA
rnacentral:tRNA from 11 species